rnacentral:tRNA from 1 species
CCUAAAUGUGAGACAAUUGUGAAAAGUGGAGGACAGAGCCACCUGGUUAAAUACAGCCCCAGCUUUCUGGUGAGAGGACUGAAACCAAGAUGUGUCAAGUAACUAGAAUGUGCCUGGACAGAUACUGUAGAAAGCAAAACCAUAAAGUUGUUCAUGAGCUUGUGGACGCACCUGCCAGCUGUGAAUAAGUGGCUCUAAUCCCGAACAACUUACCUAAAAAGAGCCUGAGAGCUGAACUGUGCAAUGGCCCACUUUCCAGUCCUCACUGACCACUGGGUUGCACACACUUUGGAGAUCUCUGAACAGCAGUGUCAAGGCUUUCAAAUAGAGUUAUCUUUGAAACGACAACACAUGAAAGUCUGGUUGGUACUUGGAGCUUAAAUACAAGGCAAUUGUGUGCCUGCAAAAACAAAAAUAGCAAUAUUAUCCUUAAGAUUUCAACAAGACACAGUGUCUCAUCACAUAAUCCAAAGAAGUCCAGGUUACAAGCCCCACAAUAUUCAGCAUUAUGAAAAAACAGGGAGAUCUUAAUUCACAUGGCAAAGAGAAUCCUCGAAUAACAAUAUUGAGAGGACACAGAUGUCAAAAUCAUCUGACACAUACAUUAAAGCAGAUAUUAUAACAAUGCUCCUAGAAUCGGGGAUAACAUUCGUGAAGUGAAUGGAAAGUUGGAAAGUCUCACCAAAUAUUUCGAAUACAUAAACACCAAUUUAAACUUAAGAAUUAAAAAAAUGUAUUAACCAAAACUCUUAGGGGAAAUAAAAAGCUUAAUUGGAGGAUCUCCAUAAUCGAAUGCAGAAGACUAAGGAAAAAGUCAAUGAACUUGAAAACAGAACACGAAUACCUACAUAAUCUGAACUAUAGAGAGAAAGGAGGAUUUUAUUGUCUCUGAACAGAGGCUCAGGCACAAAUAAAAAAUAACAAAUCCAACAUUCACAUUAUUGUAAUCUGGAAAGAAGAGGACAAAGUGGUCUUUGUGGGAUAAAACUUUGAACAAUUAAUAGCUGAAAAUGGUUCAAAUUUGUCAAAAGAUAUAAACCAGAUUUUUAAAGUUCAGUAAAUGUCAAUCAGGAUAAACCCAAAGAAACCCAUAGCAAGGCAUAUCAUAAUCAAACUGCUGAAAACUAAGAAAAUACAAAACAAUUUUGAAAGCAGCCAAAGGGAAAUGAAAGAGAAACUACCAAAUGAAUGAUUGUAGAUUUCGCAUCAGGAACCAUAGGGGCCAGAAAAAAUGUCAUAACAUUCGGAGACUACGGAAAAGAAGAGUGACUAAGAUCUCUGAAGAAGGGAAAAGCUAGAUGACUGGGCCACAAGAGAAAAAAAGCAGCAAGACAGAGAUUUGUUGGUGCCAACUAAAUGAGCCCAACAGCCAGUGACAACAGAACUGCACUAAAAAAAGUCCCUCAUCAGCUCUUGAGAGCAGGUUCCUUAAAGGUGAACAAUAUUCCACAUACAAGGACUUUUUCAGCACCAUGCAUUAGAAAUGGAAGUGAAUGUUUAUUAUUUUUUGUAUAAGUUGGUUGAUACGGCUUUUCAGCUUCCCUCAGUAUCAUUAUCCAAAUUUUGUAGAUGACACUAAAGCUCAGAGGAGUUAAACCAUUUUCCUCAAAUCACAUAGCUUUAAAUAGGAAAACCAGAUAUGAAAAGCAGAUUUUUUUCUAAAUUAAAAAAAAAAAAAAAACUUGAGCUCUUGCUUUACCCUAGCACAUAGUCUCACCAUCUGUUUUCUCCAUGCCAGGUCAUUCAUGUAACAUUCAUUCACAUAACAAAUACAAAUAAAUGAGUGGAUUCAUUCAUCAGCUAUUAAUUCAGAAUCUCUUUUGUGUCUACCACACUAGGCUCAAGACUUCCCAGUGUCUUUGUCUCCUCUCCCUCAAAUCUCUCCACCCAAUGUCUUGACAAAUACUGUAGAUCCUUCCUGCACAGCAUCACCAGAAUGUUUUUCUUUCUUUUCAUUCACCUCUGUCAUCAUCCAUGCUAUGGUGUUUAUGGAGGAUGUAUUCUGCAGCAGGAAGUGUGAUGGGCACUGACGCUGCAGAAAGACUCCUGUUGUCCACCUCGGGAGCUGACACGAUAAAUGCGGGUAAAUCUCAAUCCUUUAAUAUCUUUAUGACUUCUUUCUCUUUCUCUUCAAUUUCUAUUUUCUCAUGUUCAAGCUCUGACAUUCAAAACUAAACACCUUUCUCUAACAUGUUGCUUUAAUUAUUUAAGCAUUCUGCCUGGGAUUUUUUCAAUUACUCUUGGGAGUUUUCAUAAAACUCUACCAACAUAUCUCCAAGUGGCCAGGCUUUUCAAUCACUGCUUCCCUCCGUGUGUAUUUCACACACACACACACACACACACACACACACACAGCACUUAAAUUGAACAGGUUUAUUUCUUCACACAGGAAUUCCUACGAACAGCCCGGUUUUCUCCACCAUAUGUCCACUCCUUCUCUGCAUAGCUGAAUUUUGAUUCUUACACUCUAAUAUUUUACAUAUUCUUACACUCUGAUAUGAUCUUGUCUCUUAUUCUUUAUGGCUCUGCUCUGUAAUUUUGUUGUUGUUGUUCUGAGAUAUAGUUGGACAUGUAACUUGUACAUGACACACCUUAGCAAGGAGGCAACCUAUAUCUCAGAUGCAAGUGAAAGAAGCACUCCCCAGGGGUUUCCUAAGGUAGUGGUCAGCACGCUGGCUUCAUUCCUGAAAGGGCCUAGUUAUGAAAACAACAGGAGCUUUUUGCCUUCCAGAAAUCUGUACCAUCUCAAAAUCCCCAGAGAGUCUCAGCUACAAGGAACAAGUGAUAAUACUAUCUCACUUUUAUAAACACACACACACAACACACACACACAAAAUCAUUUAAUCAUUUUUAAUUAUUUAAUCAUUUUUUAAAAAUCAGUGACACUUUAGAUGGGCAGGUCUAGGCAGGGCCUCCUUUCCUGGAAUGUGCCUUUUUCUGUCCCGGAAUACCCUAAACUUGACAUUUUGGCAGUGUGAGUUUUCCCUUUUUGACUUUCUCCUUGUUCCCUUUCCUCUUCCUUCUUUGCAGAGAAUGAGUAGCCACUGCACCUUGCCCUGGGCCAUCAGUGAGAAGAUCUGCUCUUAGUAGAGCCCUGCUUUCCCGCUGAAGGCCCUGAAAUCCCCUGUGUUCCAGGCCACCCACUAAGGAUCAAUAAAGCUCCCCUGAUGUGGGGGAAUUAGCUCAAGUGGUAGAGCGCUUGCUUAGCAUGCAAGAGGUAGUGGGAUCGAUGCCCACAUUCUCCAAACUUUAUUAUUUAGACCCUGGGUCUCCAAACACUCAGGUCUCCAAACCCAAGUCAGAGAACAGGAUGCUGCUUUGGUUCAAGAUGUAGGAGCAGCAACAAUACAGGGCUGGUGACGGCUCCCUCCUGGCAUUCAGUAUAGUGUAGAUCUACCGUGUAAUUAAUUUUCUGCUUCUUUGAGGAGCUGUGAAACCAAGGGACAUAAACAAUUGCUCUUUUCUCCCUGUUUCUGCCUGUAGCUUGAAUGUGAGGCAACUGUGAAAAGUGCAGGGCAGAGCCACCUGGGUAAAUACAGCCCUGGCUUUCUGGUGAGAGGACUGAAACCAGGAUGUGUCAAGUAACUAGAAUGUGCCUGGACAGAUACUGUAGAAAGCAAACCCAUAAAGUUGUUCAUGAGCUUGUGGACGCACCUGCCAGCUGUGAAUAAGUGGGUCUAAUCCCAAACAACUUACCUAAAAAGAGCCUGAGGACUGAACUAAACAAUGGUCCGCUUUCCAGUCCUCACUGACCACUGGUUGCACACACUCCAGAGAUCUCUCAUCCGCAGUGUCAAGGCUUUCAAAUAGAGUUAUCUGUGAAACAACAACACAUGGAAGUCUGGUUGGUACUUGGAGCUUAAAUACAAGGCAAUUGUGUGCCUGCAAAAACAAAAAGAGCAAUAUUAUCCUUAAGAUUUCAACAAGACACAGUGUCUCAUCACAUAAUCCAAAGAAGUCCAGGUUACAAGCCCCAAAAUAUUCAGCAUUAUGAAAAACCAGGGAGAUCUUAAUUCACAUGGCAAAGAGAAUCCUUGCAUAACAAUAUUGAGAGGACACAUAUGUCAAAAUCAUCUGACACAUACAUUAAAGCAGUUAUUAUAACAAUGCUCCUAGAAUUACGGGAUAGCAUUCAUGAAGUGAAUGGAAAGUUGGAAAGUCUCACCAAAUAUUUGGAAUAUGUAAACACCAAUUUAAACUUAAGAAUUAAAAAAAGUAUUAACCAAAACUAUUAGGGGAAAUAAAAAGCUUAAUUGGAUGAUCUCAAUAGCAGUAUGCAGAAGACUAAGGAAAAAGUCAAUGAACUUGAAAACGGAACAAGAAUACCUACAGAAUCUGACCUAUAGAAAGAAAGGAGGAUUUUAUUGUCCCUGAACAGAGGCUCAGGGACAAAUAAAAAAUAACAAAUCUAACAUUCACAUUAUUGUAAUCUGGAAACAUUCACAUUAUUGUAAGAGGACAAAGAGGUCUUUGUGGGAUAAAACUGUGAAGAAUUAAUGGCUGAAAAUGUAUCAAAUUUCUCAAAAGAUAUAAACCAGAUUUUUAAAGUUCAGUAAAUGUCAAGCAGGAUAAACCAAAAGAAACCCAUUGCAAGACAUAUCAUAAUCAAACUGCGGAAAAUUAAGAAAACACAAAACAAUUUUGAAAGCAGCCAAAGGGAAAUGAAAGAUAAAAUACCAAAUGAAUGAUUGUAGAUUUCUCAUCGGGAACCCAGGAGCCAGAAAAAAAUGUCAUAACAUUCAGUAAAUACCAAAGGAAAAAUACAUUAUCAACCCAGAAUGGUAUGUGGAGCAAAAGUAUCUUCCAGACAUAAAGGCAAAUAAAUGCAUUCUCAUUGGAAGGUAAAUAAAUACAUUCUCAGUCCUAGCAAAACUGCUGGAAAAGAAUUAGCAAAGGUUUGAGAUAAGAAAAGUGAUACCAGAAGGAAACUUAGAACAUCAUCAAUGAAGGAACAAAAGCAGAAAUAGAAAAUGUCUGGGUAGACAUAACAGACUAUUAUUCUUCUCUUGAGUUCCUUAAGGUAUGUUUGAUGGUUGAAAGCAAAAAUUGUAACUUUAUCUGAUGCAGUUGUCAUUGUAUCUAGAUGUACUACAUACAUAAGAUAAAAGGGUAAAUGUAAUGGGACUAACUCUUGAUGAAGUUUCUAUAUUCAACUUGAAUGGUAAAAUAUUGAUUCUUAGUAUACUGUGAAAAGUUAUAUAUGUAUAUGGUAAUCCCUAGACCACUUAACAACCAGAUUGAAAUAAACCAAAACAAGAUAGACAGAGGAACAUAGAAGAAUUAAAACAAAGGGAAAAAAGGUUAAUAAAUUAUUAAAUAGUAGAUCUAUCUAAAAACUUAUCUAUAAUAACAUUAUAUGUAAAUUAUCUAAAUGCAUUAAGUAAAAACUAGAGAUCAUCAGAAUGUGUUAAAAAUAAAUAUGCUGACUAAAGAAAGCCACCUGCAAUACACUUAUAAAUAAGAAUAAAAGUUAUAGAGCAGAUUGAAAGAAAAGAGUGGGAAAAGAUACCUCAUGCAAGCAUUAAUCAAAGACAGCUGUGGUGUAUAUAUAUAAAAUCAGACAAAGUAGAUUUGAAAGCAGAGAAACUUUUCAGGAAUAAUGAGGCCUCCUAAAUAAUUAUGAUUGUCAAUUUUUCAGGAGAAUAUUGUCCCAAAUGUAUAUGAGGACACAGAGCUUCAAAACUCAUAAACAAAAUUGGAUACGCCAAGUAAAAAUAGAAAAAUCCAGUUAUAGUUGCAGUCAUUAACACUCCUCUCUGAGUAAUUGGAAGAUUUAGUGGAACACAAAUCAACAGACAUACUGGAGAAUUGAACCAUGCCAUCCAGUAAUGGACCUAUCAAUUUCAUAAUGCAAAAUAAAAAUUCAGGUAGAAAGCAAAGACAAAAAUUAAAAGAAAAGCAAGAUCAUGUUAUAAUGAGAAAAUUAAGAGUAGUCCAGUGUAUAGAAGGGUGCUAUUAUUGAAAGAGUUUGAAAUAGUGACUUAGUUAUUUUGAAACAUUUUUGAAGACGUUAUUUAGCUGGAAAUGACAGAAAGACUGAAAAUGGUGAAUGUGGAGGUGGAUCUUCCCUUGUCCAUAUUUAUCUUGUCUUCGUUUGAGGUCUGGGGUGUCUAUACUUCCUCUGAAUUACCUGAUCUUACUACAGUGUCUGGCACAGAGCAUCUCCCCAGUGAAUAUGUACUAAAUGAGUAGAAAGUAAUUGAUAGAUUCAAAAGAGUUGUGCAAGAAUAAUGUUCAUUAUUUGACUAAUCACUGAAUGUGGUGUUUCAAGGAAGACAAUGAAUCAAAGUUGACUUGAAAGGUAAGCCCAGGGCCAGACGUGGUGGCUCAUUUCUGUAAUCCCAGCACUUUGGGAGGCCGAGAUCAGUGGAUCCCUUGACACCAGGAG